UUGGGAAUAUUGGACAAUGGGCGCAAGCCUGAUCCAGCCAUGCCGCGUGAGUGAAGAAGGCCUUAGGGUUGUAAAGCUCUUUCGCCGACGAAGAUAAUGACGGUAGUCGGAGAAGAAGCCCCGGCUAACUUCGUGCCAGCAGCCGCGGUGAUACGAAGGGGGCUAGCGUUGUUCGGAAUUACUGGGCGUAAAGCGCACGUAGGCGGACUGUUAAGUCAGAGGUGAAAGCCCAGGGCUCAACCCUGGAAUUGCCUUUGAUACUGGCAGCCUAGAGAUCGGAAGAGGUGAGUGGAAUUCCUAGUGUAGAGGUGAAAUUCGUAGAUAUUAGGAAGAACACCAGUGGCGAAGGCGGCUCACUGGUCCGAUUCUGACGCUGAGGUGCGAAAGCGUGGGGAGCAAA
rnacentral:rRNA from 1 species